UCGGUCAAGGAUGGACUCGCGGCCUAUCAGCUUGUUGGUGAGGUAACGGCUCACCAAGGCGACGACGGGUAGCCGGCCUGAGAGGGUGACCGGCCACACUGGGACUGAGACACGGCCCAG
rnacentral:rRNA from 1 species